CAAAGUCUCAGAUUUGAUCCCCAGCAUUGUGAACUUAAAAAAAAAAGCCAGUUUGUGAGCUGGGUGUCGAAGAAGGGUAGGAGUUUGCCAGUCGGAGAGGGAGUGGGCGCCUCUUGGAGAGAAACCACGGUGAAAACACAGCCCAGCCUGGUGACUCCCUGACAAUAGCAGUGUCCACCUUUCCCUGAUGGGAGGCCAGCCGUCCCAAGACAAAACUUCAAGCACACCUGGGAGUCAGCAACUGGGUGCUAGGAAAAUGGUUGUGCUGCUUCAUCACAAUCUAAUUGUAGAACAUUUUGCUGCUCCUCACUCCUCAAGAAAUUGGCAGUCCUUCCCCGAUGCCCACCUUCAGUUGCCACAAGCACCCAUCCGACUUCUGCCUCUAUGGAUUUGUUGACUCUGAACAUUUCACAU